CCUACGGGAGGCAGCAGUGGGGAAUAUUGGACAAUGGGGGGAACCCUGAUCCAGCCAUGCCGCGUGUGUGAAGAAGGCCCUCGGGUUGUAAAGCACUUUCAGUGAGGAAGAACGCCUGGUGGUUAAUACCCAUCAGGAAAGACAUCACUCACAGAAGAAGCACCGGCUAACUCCGUGCCAGCAGCCGCGGUAAUACGGAGGGUGCGAGCGUUAAUCGGAAUUACUGGGCGUAAAGCGCGCGUAGGUGGCUUGAUAAGCCGGUUGUGAAAGCCCCGGGCUCAACCUGGGAACGGCAUCCGGAACUGUCAAGCUAGAGUGCAGGAGAGGAAGGUAGAAUUCCCGGUGCAGCGGUGAAAUGCGUAGAGAUCGGGCGGAAUACCAGUGGCGAAGGCGGCCUUCUGGACUGACACUGACACUGAGGUGCGAAAGCGUGGGUAGCAAACAGGAUUAGAUACCCGGGUAGUC
rnacentral:rRNA from 1 species